GCCAUAAAACAUAACCAUAAGGAAAAGUAAAGAUGCUCAAGUGGUGAACUGCAACCUCCCUCCCUCCCUCCCAUUCAUCCAAGUCGGACAAAACGACGUCACCUCCACUUGCGCUCCCCUUUCUCUCCGCCGGCGGGAGUAUAUUCUCACGGAAUAUUCCCCUUCUCGUGCUUAGUAUUAUUAGGGUAUGGAAAAUGACGUCAAGGUCGCGGAGAAAGUGGAGGAAGCUGACCGCCUUCUUCCUCCCCAGUCUCUUCCCUCUAAUUCCGACGAGGAAGAACCCGAAUCCGAAUCCGAAGCAGAGGCCGCGUUCGAAUCUCGUGACAAGAUCGUGAUCGUCGAUUUCGAAUCAGCCGGCGAUCCCGCGGCAGUACCUCCUUUCUCGUGGCGGAAACUGUGGCUGUUCACGGGUCCAGGUUUCCUGAUGAGCAUAGCCUUCUUAGAUCCAGGGAAUCUAGAAGGAGAUCUACAAGCUGGUGCCAUCGCUGGCUAUUCUCUCCUAUGGCUCCUAAUGUGGGCCACCGCUAUGGGGUUACUGAUUCAGAUGCUCUCCGCUAGAGUCGGUGUCGCCACCGGUCGACAUCUGGCUGAGCUCUGCCGCGACGAGUAUCCGACUUGGGCGAGGUAUUUGCUUUGGUCUAUGGCCGAGCUCGCUCUGAUCGGAGCUGAUAUUCAAGAGGUUAUCGGUAGUGCGAUAGCGAUUCAGAUUCUUAGCCGUGGCGUCUUGCCUCUCUGGGCCGGUGUUGUCAUUACGGCGUCGGAUUGUUUUUUAUUUUUGUUUCUAGAGAAUUAUGGUGUGAGGAAGUUAGAAGCUGUUUUUGCAGUUUUGAUUGCAACUAUGGGUUUGUCUUUUGCUUGGAUGUUUGGUGAAACCAAGCCAAGUGGAAAAGAACUUAUGAUAGGUAUUUUACUUCCAAGACUUAGCUCAAAGACAAUUAGACAAGCUGUAGGUGUUGUUGGCUGUGUCAUAAUGCCUCACAACGUGUUCUUGCAUUCGGCUCUUGUACAGUCGAGGCAAAUCGACCCAAAGAGGAAAUCACGGGUCCAAGAAGCGCUAAAUUACUAUUUGAUCGAGUCAUCUGUCGCGCUCUUCAUCUCUUUCAUGAUCAACUUGUUUGUGACUACUGUCUUUGCAAAAGGGUUUUACGGAACCGAGAAAGCUAACAACAUUGGCUUAGUUAAUGCUGGUCAUUAUCUUCAAGAGAAGUUUGGAGGUGGGCUUCUUCCGAUUCUCUAUAUCUGGGGAAUAGGGUUGUUAGCAGCCGGACAAAGCAGUACGAUAACCGGUACAUAUGCUGGACAGUUUAUAAUGGGAGGGUUUCUGAACCUCCGGCUUAAGAAAUGGAUGAGGGCAGUGAUAACAAGAAGCUGUGCUAUUGUGCCGACCAUGAUUGUAGCAAUCGUGUUCAACACUUCUGAAGCUUCCUUGGAUGUUUUGAAUGAAUGGCUCAAUGUGCUUCAGUCUGUACAGAUUCCUUUUGCUCUUCUCCCUCUUCUAACAUUGGUAUCUAAAGAAGAAGUUAUGGGGGACUUCAAGAUUGGACCUAUUCUCCAGAGAAUAGCUUGGACUGUGGCUGCACUUGUAAUGAUCAUCAAUGGGUACCUUCUGUUGGAUUUCUUUGUAUCAGAAGUUAACGGGUUUAUGUUUGGAGUUACGGUCUGUGUCUGGACAACCGCUUAUGUUGCCUUUAUAGUCUACCUCAUUUCACACAGCAACUUUAUUCCUUCUCCUUGGUCUUCUUCCUCUUCCAUAGAACUUCCCAAAAGAGUGACAGUUUCCAAUAGCUAGGCUGCACAAAAAUAACUGCCCCUUCAGGCCGCAUAUGUUACAAUUUGAAGAUACAACGUAUAUUCCCAAUACGAUCUAAAGAGGCUUUUACAUCGUACAAAAGCAGAAAAACAAAACAAUCAACCAGCUCAUAGUCAGCCAUUGAAAUAAAUGGCCAACCAAAAAGGAAUUUCUUAACUACUUUUAGCAAAAAAAAAAAAUACUAAACUGCGACUCUAAUGGCAGUUAUAUACAAACCCAAAUCCAGGCACUAACAACUUCCAACACAAGGCUUCAAGCUUCUUUACGCCUUGUCUCUGAUGGUAACAUCCUCAAAGAAAGCAAGAGGCAGUUCAGGUGAAACAGGCAUGGUUGCAACACACUUGAACUGUAGAACCCAAGAGAAUCAGAUAUUAGCCAUAUAGAAAUGUCGUUGUUUAGUCUAUGUUAUAUCAUUGUAAUGAUGAUUUUUUUUACCUUAUGUUGCUUGUAUUUAUUUCUAACAGCUUCAAGAACGUUCCCUCUUCUGCUUAGAUACAAGUCAUGAAUGAUACCCACACAUUGUUGCAGAUCAGACGCUUUGUACUUUGUGUACUCUUCUAACA